rnacentral:snRNA from 1 species
GUGCUCACUUCCGCAGCACGUAUACUACGAUUGGAACGAUACAGAGAAGAUUCGCAUGACCUCCCAGAAAAGAAUAAACAAAUAAUUCUGUCUGCAAAAGCAAAUCA